rnacentral:rRNA from 1 species
UACGUAGGUGGCAAGCGUUGUCCGGAAUUAUUGGGCGUAAAGCGCGCGCAGGCGGUUUUGUAAGUCAGAUGUGAAAUCCCCGGGCUCAACCUGGGAACUGCGUUUGAAACUGCAAGGCUAGAGUAUGGGAGAGGGAGGUAGAAUUCCACGUGUAGCAGUGAAAUGCGUAGAGAUGUGGAGGAAUACCAAUGGCGAAGGCAGCCUCCUGGCCUAAUACUGACGCUCAUGCACGAAAGCGUGGGGAGCAAACAGG